rnacentral:rRNA from 1 species
AUGAUCCGGCGUCGCUCCCAGGACAACCGGACGCCGCCUUCAUCACCACCUCUAUCACCAACGUCCGUGCUCUCGCCGGUACCACGUUCAAAGUGGGAUGAGGCCAGGCGCUCUGCGUCCAUCGGCUUCAUUCCGUCCCACGCAACUCUGGAGCUUUGCUCCCCUUUCGUGCUGCUGCUGCCUUUGGCUUCGACAGCAAGGCCGCCGGGGUUCGAGAGCUCGCCUACGCCGCCGCUCGUCCCCGCCGGGCCGGUGCGCCGCACACCUUCUCCCCCGCGCAGGCGGGUUGUGGUGGUGGCCGAUGCCGACCUCGAGCCGCUCUUCAAGGAGAGGGUGGAGGCCCUCCUCCCAAUGCCUGCUCCUAGGCCUACAACAGCGCGCCGCAAAACGAUGGCUGGGGUGACUAUCAGCUGCGCCGGUGGGUUCACGCUGCAGAGGACAACCGCCAGGCUGCGAGUUGCUGGGCAGGCCAAGGUCACUCCGGUCGCAAAGGCGGCGGAGGCCAUGGUUUGUCGCGGUCUCGGCAUCACCAAGAACGGCCAAGAUGUCACGCUGGAGAUGCUCAACGCUUUCACAGACCGUUUCAAGGAGCAACUUCCACCGGAGGUGAUCAUAGACAUGAGAGACAUGUUUAAGCUGGACGAUGUCGGAGCGACUGCUGUUGAGGAUGCUCUUCUGCAGCACGGAGGUGCAGGAGCGCUGGAUGUGGACAAUGGCCAGGACGCCAUUUGA